rnacentral:lncRNA from 1 species
CGGGUGUGGCAGGGGCAUCAGCUGGAUUGUAGCUUGUUUAGGAGAUUCCCGAGGGCCCCUGGAGGUUCCCGCUGGGGCUCAGCCUCCCAGGGGCCCCCCCAGUGUGGCUUCCCACCUUGCCACCUGAAGUCCUGUUUCUCCAUCUGCCUGGUGUCUUCCCAAAUUUUGAACCUAAGCGGAUUAAUCUGUUGAUGCUUUCCGUAUACAUUGGCAGGCAUGGCACCCCAGGCGCAACAACUCCAGAUGGAAGACAUACUAUUACCCCUCAAAAAAAUUCUACAAAAAAAACAGAUGAGGAACAAAAGGAAACAACUUCAAAGGAAGGAGGCAGCCAUGACACGCCAGCCAUUCCAGGCCAGGCACAGCUCAUCAGCCACAGCGGGCCAGGCACACUACCGCAGGCGCGGUACAGCAGCCAAACCACGCCAGGCUCAGCACGGUAGUCACAGCUUGUCAACUACAUCACGCCAGUCACAGCACACCCGGCACAUCACGCCCAGCACAACACACCAGGCACAACACACCGGACACACCAAGCCAGGCAAACCGUACCAGGCACAGCACACCAGGCACAACACACAAGCCACAGCAUGCCAGGCACAGAAUGCCAGGCUUGCCACACAAGGCACAGGACACCAAACACAACACACCAGGCACAACACACAAGCCACAGCACACCCGGCACCACUCAACAGGCACAGCGCAGCUGGCACGGCGCACCAGACACAACCAGCCAAGUCCACGCUGCGUCUACACUUGCUUUAAGGUAGUAGCAAUCUGCUCUGCUUGGGAAAAGCCUUUCUGAAGGUUAUAAUCCUAUCUUCUCUGCCUGCAAGCUCGAGCCUUUGUUAAUUGAGGAUCUACUGUAUGCAAAGGUCCGAGGUGCAAGAAUCCUUGCCAGUUCUGCUCCAGAUGGAGCAAAUACCAAUACUUAAAAAAAAAAAAAAAAAAAAAAAAACAAAACUUCAAAGCAUAGAAGCGGACCCAAUCCUGGAUCUUCUAAGAUGGCAUAUCUGAAAGAGACGGUUGAGUGAAAGACCUGGAGGCUGAGGACUGGGGAUUGAACCUGGGUCUCAAGACAUGCCGGGCAAAUACUGUAACGGCUGAGCCCCUCCCUGGGAAUUGGGAACCAGCUAGCUAGACUACUGAAUGGUGACCUCAGGUAUGUCCGACCUCCAGGUACAUAGACCCUGCAGAAGAUCCCUCAGCGGGCAGCAGGGGCCCCAACCCUGGCUUGCUUCUUCUCCAGCUUGGCAAAACCCAACCCUGUUGGCUUCGGUGACCUUUCCUGGACCGCUGGCGGAGUGAGGACAAGCAAGGCUACUGUGUGAAGCCUACUGAAGACCUUGAGGGAGCCACAGUAAACAUUGCAACUGUGUUUGAUGAAGAACUUGGCUUUGGGUCCUGCUAGCAGGAAGAGCUCAAACUGGCUUGGCAAGGGCAGGCAGGCCUGAGGCCAUAGCUUGGCUGCAGGGCCUGGGAAGGAACUCUGAGACUGUGCACUCAAAAGGAACCCGGAGCCUUCUCUCCCAAAGCAGCUACCCACCUUCUUUGUAUCUCUAAGCUCCUGCUUGGCUGGAGGUAGUAACAUAUUAAUGAUAAGAAUGAAAAUUAAU